rnacentral:rRNA from 1 species
GAUGAACGCUGGCGGCGUGCUUAACACAUGCAAGUCGAACGGAAAGGCUCCUGCUUGCAGGGGUACUCGAGUGGCGAACGGGUGAGUAACACGUGGGUGAUCUGCCCUGCACUUCAGGAUAAGCCUGGGAAACUGGGUCUAAUACCGGAUAGGACGAUGGUUUGGAUGCCAUUGUGGAAAGUUUUUCGGUGUGGGAUGAGCUCGCGGCCUAUCAGCUUGUUGGUGGGGUAAUGGCCUACCAAGGCGUCGACGGGUAGCCGGCCUGAGAGGGUGUACGGCCACAUUGGGACUGAGAUACGGCCCAGACUCCUACGGGAGGCAGCAGUGGGGAAUAUUGCACAAUGGGCGCAAGCCUGAUGCAGCGACGCCGCGUGGGGGAUGACGGCCUUCGGGUUGUAAACUCCUUUCGCUAGGGACGAAGCGCAAGUGACGGUACCUGGAGAAGAAGCACCGGCUAACUACGUG